GUGCUUUUUUUGGCAGUACAUAUACUAAAAUUGAAAUGAUACAGAGAAGAUUAGCAUGGGCCCUGAGCAAAGAUGGCACACAAAUUCGUAAAGCGUUCCAUAUUUUU